AGAGUUUGAUCCUGGCUCAGGAUGAACGCUAGCUACAGGCUUAACACAUGCAAGUCGAGGGGCAGCAUGGUCUUAGCUUGCUAAGGCCGAUGGCGACCGGCGCACGGGUGAGUAACACGUAUCCAACCUGCCGUCUACUCUUGGACAGCCUUCUGAAAGGAAGAUUAAUACAAGAUGGCAUCAUGAGUCCGCAUGUUCACAUGAUUAAAGGUAUUCCGGUAGACGAUGGGGAUGCGUUCCAUUAGAUAGUAGGCGGGGUAACGGCCCACCUAGUCUUCGAUGGAUAGGGGUUCUGAGAGGAAGGUCCCCCACAUUGGAACUGAGACACGGUCCAAACUCCUACGGGAGGCAGCAGUGAGGAAUAUUGGUCAAUGGACGAGAGUCUGAACCAGCCAAGUAGCGUGAAGGAUGACUGCCCUAUGGGUUGUAAACUUCUUUUAUAAAGGAAUAAAGUCGGGUAUGUAUACCCGUUUGCAUGUACUUUAUGAAUAAGGAUCGGCUAACUCCGUGCCAGCAGCCGCGGUAAUACGGAGGAUCCGAGCGUUAUCCGGAUUUAUUGGGUUUAAAGGGAGCGUAGAUGGAUGUUUAAGUCAGUUGUGAAAGUUUGCGGCUCAACCGUAAAAUUGCAGUUGAUACUGGAUGUCUUGAGUGCAGUUGAGGCAGGCGGAAUUCGUGGUGUAGCGGUGAAAUGCUUAGAUAUCACGAAGAACUCCGAUUGCGAAGGCAGCCUGCUAAGCUGCAACUGACAUUGAGGCUCGAAAGUGUGGGUAUCAAACAGGAUUAGAUACCCUGGUAGUCCACACGGUAAACGAUGAAUACUCGCUGUUUGCGAUAUACGGCAAGCGGCCAAGCGAAAGCGUUAAGUAUUCCACCUGGGGAGUACGCCGGCAACGGUGAAACUCAAAGGAAUUGACGGGGGCCCGCACAAGCGGAGGAACAUGUGGUUUAA
rnacentral:rRNA from 1 species